UUGCUGAUUCCAAGAGAGUCUUUGUGGAAAUCCUGUUUGGCUUUUUGUUAUUUUAAUUCUCUUCUCUGUUUUCCAGAACAGUUCUCCACAGUCGCUGUCCACAUGGGUCAGUGGGACCAAGAAGCACUCUGCUAAUGUGUGGACUCUGACCAGCAACAUCCAGCAAGACCCAGACAGCGUUUUCUAUCUCCCAGCUGGAGUUUUUGUUUGUCUGUGACUGGAGAGUCAGAUUUUGUUGAGCUUCACACUUGCAGAGGUUAAUACACUCUACUGAUCCCUGAUGGGAGAAUCAUCAAUUUUGGCAACAAAGAAGCCUGGUGGAUGUUUGUUUACAGUCUGAUGAUGGGACAUCAUGCUCUGCAUCGUCAAAGUUUGCCUCCUCAUUAUUAUUCAUACCCAGUAAUGUGAAGUAUGCUCAUAUCUACUAUAACUGAACCAACCUGGUGCUCUUCAUUUAUGGAGGCUGUUGAGUCUGAAUGUUGGAUGUUGUGUAUCUCGUGUUCUCUGGGCUUUGUUGUCCUCAGUCUUUUCGCAGGAUCAGAAAACAAAACCAGGAGGCACGUAAAUGUUUCUUCUCCAUGAUGUUUCUUCAAAUGUUUCUUCUGGAUGAUGAUAAGACUGACACGUGAUGCCACCUUUGGUCUUGUGAUGAAGCAAAGCUCAGGAAGAAGUGGGAUUAAAUGGUACCCACAUGUGUGCUGCUGAGAAGGAUGUACAGGGGCACCUGCAGCCAAAUCCAAGCCUCAGAGCAGAGCAGCAGUUUGUGCUCACAGAUGGUGACGGUGUGGAGAGACGGUGGUGUUUCCUCAGAAGAACCAGCAGAGUCACAAAGGACACCAGUCCAUCUCACCACCUUGACUUGCUGACUGAUGUUCGUCUACACUGCACAGAGGAAAUCAGCUGACCGAGGAGUGUUUCUGAGUGAGGGGGGAGGAGUCAUCAUCCAGGUAAAGUGACGUAGAUCCGUGGACACACUUGUCUCCCCUUUAAAGGAGACGAUCCAAGUCAUCCUUAAAUAUGGGCAGCAUAUCAGUCUUGGACUGUCUAACCUGCAGCACUGAAUGACCACCACACAUGAGCAUGUUCCUGCAACAUUCAGCAUCUGAUCCUUCAUCUGUGUGCUUCUGCUUUUGUGUCACAUGUCAAACAGCUGGAGAGGAAACUACACCAGUGUACUGGGAUGUUUCACCAACACGUGCCAGAUGCUGUUCCUUCAUGGUGACAUCACCAGAGACAGCCCCGCCCACCUCAGGACCUCACCAUUGAUCAUGAUGAUUAUAAUAAUGACAGCGAGCGGAACUAAGACUGUAAAAAUCCACGACCAGAAUGUUUCUUUCUAAUUAUGAAUGAAUAGUGAGAGCCUCUUUCUCUGUUUUGUCUGUUUUGGGGUUGUUUUUUUUUACCUCAUUUGUUACUAACAAAGUUCACAAACUCACACAGUUUACAUUCUGUAUGUUUCCAUCUUUACCAGCCACACUCUAACUGCAUUUAAGAAAAGAAUCCUUAGAAAUCGUUGUUUUUCUCUUUUGUAAUUGAUGAUAAUUCAGUGAAUAUACUGCGCUGCUUCCUUUUAUUGCGUCACACAUUGCUUUAAGUUUUUCAGUUCCAGUUAUUUUUUACUGCUGUUUGAAUUCUCUGAAUGUUUGACCCUGUAGACUGUUUGAUGGACUGCUUGUCUUCCUGUU